UGUGUGUGUGUGUUUUUUUUUUUUAAUUGCAUUAAGUUGUUUAUGUUAACAAAGCCAUGAUAGGUUUUAUAGUUAACCCAGUGAGUGUGGAUAAUGUCUGGAUUUGCUUUACUCGCUUCACUUGAUAUUAAUGUUUUACAACUAUUUGAAAGUGCAUGUGUAUGCAUGUACACUCCUCUGUCUCUGUAUACAAGAAGUUUGCAUUGGUCAAGAGGUAGAUUGUUGAAGUGCUAUGCAACUUAAAUGCAGGUUGGAUGAUGCAAUUGAGA
rnacentral:misc_RNA from 1 species